rnacentral:rRNA from 1 species
UACGUAGGGGGCGAGCGUUGUUCGGAAUUAUUGGGCGUAAAGCGCGUGUAGGCGGUUCGGUAAGGCGGAUGUGAAACCCUGGCUCAACCCAGGGCCUGCAUCCGCGACUGCCGGCUAGAGUGUGGGAGGGAGAGCGGAAUUCCUGGAUGUGAGCGGUGAAAUGCGUAGAGACCCGGAGGAACACCAGUGGCGAAGGCGGCGUCCUGGCCUGCGACUGACGCUGUGGCGCGAAAGCUAGGGGAGCGAACGGG